CCUGCUCGAGGUCAUCCGCAGGAUCGUCCACGCCAACCCUGAGUAGUAGACCUGGGACUCUCUGGGGUCCUUCUUCGAGGUAGAUCAAUUCAUUCCUUCUGUUUCUUUACUUUGCUUAUCUUUUGGCUUUUAUAUUGACUCCCUGGCCACUCUUGCAGGUGGGACACCAGCUCAUCACCAACAUCGAGGCGAUGAACAAUGCCAUGAAGGAGACCGCCCAG
rnacentral:lncRNA from 1 species